UACGGGGGGAGCAAGCGUUGUUCGGAUUUACUGGGCGUAAAGGGCGCGUAGGCGGCAAUUCAAGUCAUCUGUGAAAUCUCCGGGCUUAACCCGGAACGGUCAGAUGAUACUGCUUUGCUAGAGUGCAGAAGGGGCAAUCGGAAUUCUCGGUGUAGCGGUGAAAUGCGUAGAUAUCGAGAGGAACACCUGAGGUGAAGACGGGUUGCUGGGCUGACACUGACGCUGAAGCGCGAAAGCCAGGGGAGCAAACGGG
rnacentral:rRNA from 1 species